CUACGGGAGGCAGCAGUGGGGAAUUGUUCGCAAUGGGCGCAAGCCUGACGACGCAACGCCGCGUGGAGGAUGAAGGUCUUCGGAUUGUAAACUCCUGUUGCCAGGGACGAAUAGCUCCGACCUAACACGUCGGAGUAUGACGGUACCUGGUGAGGAAGCCCCGGCUAACUCUGUGCCAGCACCCGCGGUAAUAA
rnacentral:rRNA from 1 species